rnacentral:rRNA from 1 species
GAUCGUACGUUGGGCACUAGGUGUGGGGGACAUUCCACGUUUUCCGCGCCGUAGCUAACGCAUUAAGUGCCCCGCCUGGGGAGUACGGCCGCAAGGCUAAAACUCAAAGGAAUUGACGGGGGCCCGCACAAGCGGCGGAGCAUGCGGAUUAAUUCGAUGCAACGCGAAGAACCUUACCAAGGCUUGACAUGUGCCAGACCGCCUCAGAGAUGGGGUUUCCCUUCGGGGCUGGUUCACAGGUGGUGCAUGGUUGUCGUCAGCUCGUGUCGUGAGAUGUUGGGUUAAGUCCCGCAACGAGCGCAACCCUCGUUCCAUGUUGCCAGCACGUAAAGGUGGGGACUCAUGGGAGACUGCCGGGGUCAACUCGGAGGAAGGUGGGGAUGACGUCAAAUCAUCAUGCCCCUUAUGUCUUGGGCUUCACGCAUGCUACAAUGGCCGGUACAAUGGGUUGCGAUACUGUGAGGUGGAGCUAAUCCCUAAAAGCCGGUCUCAGUUCGGAUUGGGGUCUGCAACUCGACCCCAUGAAGUCGGAGUCGCUAGUAAUCGCAGAUCAGCAACGCUGCGGUGAAUACGUUCCCGGGCCUUGUACACACCGCCCGUCAAGUCACGAAAGUUGGUAACACCCGAAGCCGAUGGCCUAACCACCUUGUGUGGGGGGAGUCGUCGAAGGUGGGACUGGCGAUUGGGACUAAGUCGUACAAAGGGGUAAACCAA